GGUCCGGUAGCUCAGCUGGAUAGAGCAACUGCCUUCUAAGCAGUAGGUCAUUGGUUCGAAUCCAAUCCGGAUCACAA
rnacentral:tRNA from 1 species